rnacentral:rRNA from 1 species
UACGGAGGGUGCAAGCGUUGUCCGGAAUCACUGGGCGUAAAGGGCGCGUAGGCGGCUCAUGAAGGCUGUGGUGAAAGUCCGGGGCUCAACCUCGGAUCGGCCGUGGCGACUCGUGGGCUGGAGCACUGUAGAGGCGGGUGGAAUUCCGGGUGUAGCGGUGGAAUGCGUAGAGAUCCGGAAGAACACCGGCGGCGAAGGCGGAUCUCUGGGCCAUUACUGACGCUGAGGAGCGAAAGCGUGGGGAGCGAACAGG